AAACAUCCUCGGCCCACCUAAAGCAUGUUUAUUUCUGUGAUGUAACAUGGCACAAUUCUUCAAACACAGCCCUUUUCUUUAUUAAGGAACUUCUACUGUGUGCCAUCUGAGGGCACCGCUUACGUUUACAAAGGGCGAGGGGAGUUCAGCAUGGGGACAGACAAUUCAGCCUGAAGGUAUCGCAGCCACGAGCGAGAGGUACACGGGAUGGCGGGGUUAGUGCAGUCACCUCACCGGGAUCUGCCCCUGUAAAGACAAAGGGAAUCCCGGGGACUUGCUAGAGCAGCCUCCUCGCCGCGACGGCACAGGGAACACAGGGAGGCCCCACAAAGGCCCCGGAAACACCGGGAGCGUCCAGAAGGAACGGGAAACAUUGGCAACUUCCCCCCACACCCCCGACACAGCUCGGUGGGCGCGGCACUGCGCAUGCGCAGACAGCGGAAUGCGACACUGCCUCUCUGAGGCGCCCCCAUCGCCGCGUUGACACAGGGGGAAGAGCCGAUGCUGGUCCGCACCUCGGGGCCUUUCCGGGGCAGUGUCUCCUGCUCAGGAUCCUUCUGCGUGGAUGGCCGAGUCUGAAACCUCGCGUCUGCUGCACACUCAGUAUGCGGCCGCUACGCUGCGGGAAGAGAAGGAGGCGACGCACGGCGUGCCCCCCUCUCUUUCGGGAGGGAUGGUUCGCCUCGCGUGAGGCGCCAGGAGCAUUGCGGCGGCCGCGGCUGCUGAGGGAGCUGCGUUGGAGGUUGUGCUUAUUGGCGGUGCCUGUCUUCGAAAUCGGGCACUUACCUCUAGUAUGUCCUUUUAGACUCCUUGUACUGUUCGUGUAUCUCUGUCGCUCUUCCAAAUAUGUCUUCUCCUUUUUUUUUCUUUCCCAGAUGAAAGCAAUGGAAGUUGGUCAGUGGCCGGAGCAUGCACCAACAUGACCAAAAGGUGUCCCAAGGGCAUGGUAUUCUCGGCUUUUCUCAUUAAAUGUUUGCUCUGUAUAUAAUAUUACUUAAUAGUGAAUUUUGAAAUAUUUUUCAACUGAUUAAUUGCUCUUUUUCAUAAGCUGUGAAUUUAAUUUUGCUGAGGUAUGGAGUUCCCAUACUUAAGUUUUUUGCCUUUGUGUUGCCCAUUCAUUCCUGUCCAGAAUGGAUGUGGUGUCAAAAAAGGCAAACAAGAAUUAUUGCUCAAAGUGGUUUAGGGAGCUGGUUAUGUACCUUCCUCCUCUCUGUUUUUGCAAGGACAAAAAAACCCCAAAAAACAUGUACAAAUAGUAUAGUUGAGUAGGUAUGUAGAAGGUUUUAUUCUUCAGUCUUUUAAAGUGGAGAAUCUGACAGUUACUAGAAGAGGAAAAGCUAAAAUUAUAGUGGCCACUUUUAGCAUUGUUUAGCACUCCUGUCUGUCAUGAUCUUUACAUUUGCAAGUAAUUAGUACAUAACUUUCCAGCAGCAGCCUCUAGAUUUUCUAUUAUAAAAAUAUAUUUACAGCUUAAUACUGAACACGCAGAAAAUAUUAAAAUCUUCUUAAAGGGGAAAAAUUGUAGUUUGUUUUUGUAGAUUUGUGGGUGUGUCAUUCAGUAUUGGAUAAUAUGCUGUCUGCUCUUUUGCUGAGCUUUCCUUGAUGUCCUUUUGAAAGUGUAAAGUGUUCUUCAAUAUUGUCAGAUUCCUGACAGAAUGCUUAAUGCUAGGAAUGCUUCUUACAGAUUUCUAGUGUGUUUUGCUGGAAGUUCGGGAUCUCCCAGAAUAGCCCUGUGUGCUGAAAGUCUCUGAGCAUGAGAAGGGCAUGUGGGAAGAAGCCACCAAGUGCUGAUUGCACAGCUGAGAAAAUAUAACUAAUCUUCAGUGAAGUGAUGAAACUCCUCCAGGUUGGCCGUAAUGCUCUUGAAAGUAAUAAAAUCAGAAAGUUUCAUCAAUGAAAUGUGAGAAUCUGCUUGAGUAGCACCAAUGCACUGAAUCCUUUACCACUGCUGCUGGUAGGAAGUGAGCCUGUGAAAUCCAUCCACACCUUCUGCACUCUUUUGCAGGGCUGAAGAGUAAGGAAGAAUUGUUAGAACCAGCCUGGGAGCAAUCCCUGUCCAUUGAAACACUCCUCCCUAAGAAGCAAAAAACUGUUUAAAAGGUGGUCUAUUAAGCCUUCAUAUAGUAAGACAAAGUGCAUUUAACUGCAUUGUGGCAGUGUCUGGUAAUGUUUAUAUAGACAAAAAUUAAAGAUUUUAUUUUCUCUUCUCAGAAUUCCUGUCUUUCACAAGCUUUAGUAACAAUUGCUUCUGUUAGAGAGUUUGGACUUCCUUUGUGUUAUUGUUGGCAUACCAAUGCACCCCUUCGGAUGAAACAAAGCCUAGGAGUGAGUUGGGAUGUGAUGACUUAAACCAUGGUGUCCUGUAGUAUUUGAAGAUAGGGUUGGCUGAGAUUUUUAUUGUGGUGAGCAAAAGUAGAAAUUUUAAAAGUAGAAAUUCAGCAAACCUGGCUUUAAAAAGAGUAAGAAAGGUGUUUAUUCAACAUGGAGAACAGCAAGCUUGGUUUAUUAUCACCUUGACAUCAUGUGGUACUUCAGCAUAACUUAGAGUGAAAAACUCUUGAGAUAAUUGAGAUUGCUGCUUAUUUUUCUAGGAAGACUUAACAUAGUUUAUCAGAAGAACAAAUGUUUAAAUUGUGUAUCUUGCAAUGUGUGAUUUUUCAGUACUGAAUGUAAGCAUGUUAAUAAUUCUAAGUGUAAGGUUGUUUUUAGUUUGUCAAGAGAGAAGGGGGUUUAGACAAGAGUAAUUAAUUUUUAGAGGUCCAGCUUGUAAUUAUGGGAUGUACUUGAAAGUUUAGGGUUUUUA